AGACUUACCUGGCAGGGGCAAUACCAUGAUCACGAAGGUGGUUUUUCCAGGCGAGGCUUGUCCAUUGCGCUCAGGAUGUGCUGACCCCUGCGAUGUCCCCAAAUGUGGGAAACGUGACUGCAUAACUUGCGGUGGUGGGGGACUGCGUUCACGCUCUCCCCUG